rnacentral:rRNA from 1 species
UACGUAGGUGGCAAGCGUUGUCCGGAUUUACUGGGCGUAAAGCGAACGCAGGCGGAGUGUUAAGUCAGACGUGAAAGGUUGGAGCUCAACUCUGACACGGCUUCUUAUACUGGCAUUCUUGAGUCUUGGAGAGGAAAGCGGAACGACACGUGUAGCGGUGAAAUGCGUUGAUAUGUGUCGGAACACCGAUGGCGAAAGCAGCUUUCUGGACAAGUACUGACGCUGAGGUUCGAAAGCCAGGGGAGCGAACAGG